rnacentral:rRNA from 1 species
UACGGGGGGGGCAAGCGUUGUUCGGAAUUACUGGGCGUAAAGGGCUCGUAGGCGGCCAACUAAGUCAUGCGUGAAAUCCCUCGGCUUAACCGGGGAACUGCGUCUGAUACUGGAUGGCUUGAGUUUGGGAGAGGGAUGCGGAAUUCCAGGUGUAGCGGUGAAAUGCGUAGAUAUCUGGAGGAACACCGGUGGCGAAGGCGGCAUCCUGGACCAACACUGACACUGAGGAGCGAAAGCCAGGGGAGCAAACGGG